rnacentral:lncRNA from 1 species
AGUCAAUGCUAGAAAUGGACGUUUAGUUAUUGAAUCCCGCUAACGAGGGGAGCCAACAAGAGAGGGAUGUCGGCAUCGGGUGUGCGGUUCCAAGAACUGAUUGGCUGUGGAGAUUAGAAGUUAGGAACCUUUGCAACGGAAAGCGGCCUCGGGCAGGCGCCUUUUGAGCAGAGGAGUAAAACCGGUAAGUCAGCAGUGGAACCCGCCUCCCCGGAAAUCCUUGGAGGGGGCGGGGCCCUGGGGAGCGCGCUCUUCCCAGCGGCAGCUGGGGAGGCGCAUGCGUACUUGCGUCAUCGUUGGGUAGCAGCGGGGAGGCGUGGGAGGAUCUGAGGCCUGCGGUGGGCCUUGGUCCCUUCUCUCCCCGCCCCGAAGCCGCCUGCUCAACCUGAGGGCCACCGGCCUCUAUCCGUCGGUGCCGAUGCUCCUUGCUUCCCAGCCAGAGCGUCUCAUCUCUGGGCCCGGAGCCCCAGGCUCGUUCUCCUCAGCCCCUGCCGGCGGCGGCGCUCUUGCAGCCAUUCCUGUGAGGUCGUUUUUCGGAGCAGCCGGGCCGGCCGAGGAGUAAGUAGGCGCCAGAGUUCUAGCUCGGGCAUCUGCCUCGGGGCCCUGUCGCCGCCGCGCCCCGGAUCCUGCGUUGGUCCUGUCCGAUAAAGCGGAGGUCGGCCCUGCUUGCUGACGAGACCGUAAAAACCACGGCGCUUGGCGCCCUGCCGCCGCCACACCACACCAAAGUGUACCUGCCCGAGGCUGGCUUCGGGCGCGAGCUUGCAUUUGUGACUUUCUCUUACCGUCUUUGUUUGCUUCGUUUUAAGUAUUACUUCCAGAUAAGGGACACAUUCUCGAAAUACUUUGAAAACAGUUUUGAAUUUUGUUCCUCCCGUUGAAACGGAUUAAAUUUGGACCUUUCAAGCUA